UACGGAGGGUGCAAGCGUUAUCCGGAUUCACUGGGUUUAAAGGGUGCGUAGGUGGCCUGUUAAGUCAGGGGUGAAAGACGGUAGCUCAACUAUCGCAGUGCCCUUGAUACUGAUGGGCUUGAAUGAACUAGAGGUAGGCGGAAUGUGACAAGUAGCGGUGAAAUGCAUAGAUAUGUCACAGAACACCAAUUGCGAAGGCAGCUUACUAUGGUUUUAUUGACACUGAGGCACGAAAGCGUGGGGAUCAAACGGG
rnacentral:rRNA from 1 species